rnacentral:lncRNA from 1 species
GAUGGGGUUGACGUUCUGGCCGAUGCGGCGGAAGUUCUGGUUCACGCCAACGCGGCCAGCGUUGACCUUCUCCGGGUACACACCGUCAGCAGGGUGCAGGUACUGCACCUUGCCAUCAGGGAAGACGCGGUAGAACGCCGGGGUCAGCUUGAACUUGGUGCGCAGCUGGGUCGUCAGAGCAAGGCACUGCUCUUUCUUGGCGAACUUGAGCAGGUUGGGGCCCUGGCGCAUGAUAGCAGCACCGCCA